rnacentral:rRNA from 1 species
UACGUAGGGUGCAAGCGUUGUCCGGAAUUAUUGGGCGUAAAGAGCUCGUAGGCGGUCUGUCGCGUCGGCUGUGAAAACCCGGAGCUCAACUCCGGGCCUGCAGUCGAUACGGGCAGACUGGAGUUCGGCAGGGGAGACUGGAAUUCCUGGUGUAGCGGUGAAAUGCGCAGAUAUCAGGAGGAACACCGGUGGCGAAGGCGGGUCUCUGGGCCGAUACUGACGCUGAGGAGCGAGAGCGUGGGGAGCGAACAGG